GCUGGCUCAGCAGGCAUAGGGCAGAGACCAGGAGGUCGAUCAUCUUUGCACAUAAACUGGUCACCAGCACAUGGAGCCGUAAACUUUUGGCAAUCCAAAACCUACCGAGACUAAAAGAGAAAGAAGCAGCUGCAUGAAAAGGACUUCAUCACAGGCAGUCGUAUUUAUUCAGCACAGCCAUUUCCAUUUACACUAAGGCUGAGCUUAAAUGAGGGGUUGAGCCAGCAGAGUAUGCCCAAGGGUGUAGAGAGCCUAUGGGAGCCAAUGAGACCACUGACCUCAGAGCCCAACACCACAGGCAGUGAGAUGAGAGGAGGAGAGAGAGAGGAGGAGCUGACUCUGCUCUCACAAGGACAGCAGCAUCCUGAGGAGAAGGAUGAGUGACACUGCCCUCCCUGACUCUGCCUGGGGCCCCACCCUGCUCUGCUGUGUCACUGUCUUUCUCCUGGGGACAGGUUCAGCAAAUCCUGGGGUCAUCCAGUCUCCAAGACACCUAAUCAAAGCAAGGGGAGGAAGGUCCACUCUGACAUGCAUUCCCAUCUCUGGACAUAACAGUGUGGCCUGGUACCAGCAGACUCUGGGGCAGGAACUGAGGUUCCUCAUUCAGCAUUAUGAAAGAAUGGAGAGAGAGAAAGGAAACAUCCCCAGCCGAUUCUCAGUGCAGCAGUUCAGUGACUAUCACUCUGAGAUGAACAUGAGCGCCUUGCAGCUGGAGGAUUCUGCUGUGUAUUUCUGUGCUAGCUCAUCACAGCCUUACAGAGUGACUGGCUUUCUGUCCCCAAUCUUCCUGUGCCAGUUGGUGAUGUAUUAG